rnacentral:rRNA from 1 species
AGAUUGAACGCUGGCGGCAUGCUUUACACAUGCAAGUCGAACGGUAACAGGCCGCAAGGUGCUGACGAGUGGCGAACGGGUGAGUAAUGCAUCGGAACGUGCCCAGUCGUGGGGGAUAACGCAGCGAAAGCUGUGCUAAUACCGCAUACGAUCUAUGGAUGAAAGGCGGGGGACCGAAAGGCCUCGCGCGAUUGGAGCGGCCGAUGUCAGAUUAGCUAGUUGGUGGGGUAAAGGCCCACCAAGGCGACGAUCUGUAGCUGGUCUGAGAGGACGACC